rnacentral:rRNA from 1 species
UACGUAGGGUGCAAGCGUUAAUCGGAAUUACUGGGCGUAAAGGGAGCGUAGGCGGAUAGUUUAGUCAGAGGUGAAAGCCCAGGGCUCAACCUUGGAAUUGCCUUUGAUACUGGCUAUCUUGAGUACGGAAGAGGUAUGUGGAACUCCGAGUGUAGAGGUGAAAUUCGUAGAUAUUCGGAAGAACACCAGUGGCGAAGGCGACAUACUGGUCCGUUACUGACGCUGAGGCUCGAAAGCGUGGGGAGCAAACAGG